UGGGCAGUGACCAGCUGAGUGCUCUGAGGGGGUUACAAAGCAGAGGGUGCUUUCAGGGUGGCUGUUUCUGCUCCUUAAAACCAUCUCCAUAUUGCUGUGCUAGUUUGGAGAGACCCUUUGGGUGCUCUUCUUUAAGUCUUAAUUGUCACCCCAGCCCCAGAUCCUGGCGAGUGUUUCAUUCCUUGGAGCGAGGCCGUUUGAACUCUGCCAUCGCCGCCUUCAGAGGCAUCAGCAUUACACCGAACCUGCUCCAUCACCAUUAGCAGACGCGGUAAUUUAUACAGCGAUUUUAAUUGAAUGCUCAGACCUCGGGGUCACGUAUGGAAAUUAAACAAUGCGUGGAGCAGCUCCAGCCACUUUGGGGGCUGUUACCGUACACACAGAUGCCCACGCGAGCGCGGAGAUCUGGGGAGCAGAAGGAGGAUGCUGAUGGCGUGAGGAGGGAGCGGAGCAAGGUCCCUGCUGCCCACGAUGGGGUGGAGGAGAUGGAACCACCCCAGGAAAAUGUGGUGGAAACUGAGGCAAGCCUGCCGGUGGCUGCCGUGUUUUGCUCUGCAGAUCCCCAUCUCAGUUUGUUUUCCAUGGUUGGCACCGUUCUGGGAAAUGUGAAAAUAAUAACUAUUAAAUGCUAUAAUACGCAGUAAUCCGAUGACUCAUGGGUUAAUUCUCACUCAAAACCAGACAUUUAUUCCCGGAAUGUAAAACAUUUUAACAAUAUUAGUCGUGAAAAAGGAAUGGGGGCUCUUUUGUCAGGAUUUUUGUUUUGUUUUGUUUUGUUUUUUUUCUAAGUUCCAUUAAUUCUUUGUUCAAUUGAUGCAUAUUCAAAAUGGUAUAAGUGGGGCCCUCACUGUUUCAAUUAGCAUUAAUGCACAAUUAUUUUUCUCCAUAUUUAUGCUGCUCUUGCAGGGCACGGUUUUUGGUUGUUGUUGUUGGGCUUUUUUAACAUUUGUAUGUUAAUUCAGCGUUUAAAAGAUCUUCUCCCCAAA